UUUAGCCUAAACAAUAUUGCUAAAAUAUUAAAAGUUAUGAUCUCUAAAUUUAAAGGAUUUGGCGGUGAUUUAGUCCAGUUAGAGGAACCUGUUAAAUAAACGAUAUACCACGAAAAAUCUUACCUGUUUUCAGUUUGUAUACCGUCAUUAAUAGAUAACUUUGAAAAAAAGAGUUAUUUUAAAAAGAUUUUCUUUAUAUAUUAGAUCAAGGUGCAGCGCAUAAAUAGGCCUAUAAUGGGUUACAAUAAUAUUUUAUUAGACGAAUAUAAACAUUAAAUUAUUUAUUGAAGGAGGAUUUAAUAGUAAGAUUAGUUUAAUAAGCUAAUUUGAUAAAGGAUCUAAAUUGUGUACAUAUCGCCCGUCGCUUUCAUUACAAAAUGAAAUAAGUCGUAACAUAG
rnacentral:rRNA from 1 species